rnacentral:rRNA from 1 species
UACGUAGGGCGCAAGCGUUGUCCGGAAUUAUUGGGCGUAAAGAGCUCGUAGGCGGCUUGUCGCGUCGACUGUGAAAUCCCGCGGCUCAACUGCGGGUCUGCAGUCGAUACGGGCAGGCUAGAGUUCGGUAGGGGAGACUGGAAUUCCUGGUGUAGCGGUGAAAUGCGCAGAUAUCAGGAGGAACACCGGUGGCGAAGGCGGGUCUCUGGGCCGAUACUGACGUGAGGAGCGAAAGCGUGGGGGAGCGAACAGG